AGGCGGGAGCCACAGCACCCGGACGUCCCAGGGGCAUUUGAAACUGUCCCUGAAGCAGCAGUGUGGACUGGAUUACAAGGAGGUCAGGUGGCUAGGACGUAAUGCUUCCAGGGAGAGAUGGUCUCCUCAGUCCCUGUGGACAUGGUCAGUGCACCCACACCCCACGCCCACACCCCACACCCACAUCCCACGCCCUCACCCCACACCUUGACUUGGGCAGCUGCCCUUGCCAGGUGGCUCUCUCCUCUCCUCCUGAACUGGACAGGUCCUACCACCAGGGAAUGCCCAGUUCAGGUUCUGCUUCCUGCAGGAGGCCUUGCUGCACCAGAUAGGAUUUUGGCUGCAAGCAACAGAAAGCGGUUCCGAUUAACUUAGGCAAAAAGGAGUUUCCUGCAAGCUGCUGGGGCACCGUACCCGCCUAAAGGAAAGCCGUGCUGCCAGGCCUUGGGAAGGAGACUCAGCGCAGCACUAGCAGCCCCCCUCCCCGGCCCACUGGAGGGCCAAGUCUCUGGGGGGAGAACAUGACAGGCGUGGAGGGCUAGAGAUGCCCCCCUGAGUCCUCUCCUGCCUCUUCCUGUGAAGAAGGCCUCCCGCUGGCUGCACGUUUCCUCACUGUUUGCCGGGACUGGCUGUGCAAUUCCCCGCUGCGCCCGUCCCCAGCGCUCCACACAGGAGCUCCGCGAAUGCUGGCUUGUUAACCGGAUAGCUUGACACUCUAAUCAGUACGAAUUCACCUUCUCAGCUGAGAGGUUAGGAAAGUGUGGAAGGGGAGGGCUGUGGGACGCCACUCCCCACACACUGUUGUGUGGCCUGGGAAAGCUGCUUCACCCCCUUGUGCGUCGGUUUCCUCAUCUGUGAAACAGGGUAAUAAUAAAGUGUCUCUUAGAGUGGCUGCAAGGAUGCCAUUGAUGAAUCCUUUUAAAUGGCUGAGGUGGAGCGUCAGCCACCACGCACCCAGCAGCAGACGUUCCCUUGUGUCCGGCAGGGUCCGGCCUGCAUUUUUACUGAAUUCUUAUUCCUGUUUGCCAAAAGGGAUGGGAGGAGCUGAGUCGAGUGAGGACCUUGUGCCAGACCUGGGGCUCCGUGCCCACAGCCCAGGAGAUGGGAAUCACAGGAAUAUGACCUCUGGUCUUGGCUCU
rnacentral:lncRNA from 10 species